UUUUGUCAUUUAAGGAUGUACUUAGGUGAGGUUUUGGAAAUUGGUGUCAAAUGUUCGGACUCCUUGGUAUUUUUCCAUCAGUACUGGGUUAAGUGUUUUCCCCCAUAACACCCAUUUUUCUUUGUAUAAAAUACUUCAAUUGCUCAUAAAAGGCCAUUUUACAAAAUUUGAGUAAUUUCUUAAUUUUUGUUCUUUCGAUUUGAGACACAAAUAAUACUUAUGCAAACGUAAGGUAAACGUCCAAGUCAGCCUUUUCCCGCUUUUUUUUUUAAACUCAAAUAUCUCGAAAACGAGGUCCAUGACCUAUCAAUAGUUUUAGCUUGUUUUGUUCCUUAACUGGUGCUCCUUCAAAAUGUAGUAUCAAUUU
rnacentral:lncRNA from 1 species